rnacentral:misc_RNA from 1 species
UUAAUUUCUCAGAAAGUACCCUAUCUUCCGCCCAUUUCUCACCAAAUCCCAGGAAUUUUAUAAAGUUUCCCACAAAUCAAGAUCACAAAUUUUGCUUCUCACAUUCAGAGCUCAGAUUUUCUGUUGCUUUCCCAUGGGCCUGGUUUUUAUCAAUUCUUGAAAACCAUGUCAAAGUCCAAGAAUUUCUUUCAGAAUCUGAUCAAGCCUUUCAAGUUGAGUUCUAGCAGAAAGGGCAAGAGUGAAGAGGACUUGGACCAGAUUGCUGCUCAGGAACAGAAGCAGUUUGCAUUUGAUACCUUAGUCUCUGCCACCAAAGAUUUUCACCC